rnacentral:tRNA from 1 species
GCGAUGGCCUGGUCGAUGGCGUCGGGCAGCCGGGCCUCGUGGGUGCGGGCGGCCUGGCGCACCGACCGGGUCCACGGCUCGGCGGCCCCGGCCGCGGCG